rnacentral:rRNA from 1 species
AUUAGAUUAAAAACCAAUGCCCUCCGGGGCUCCUUGGUGAAUCAUAAUAACUUAUCGAAUCGCAUGGCCUUGCGCUGGCGAUGGUUCAUUCAAAUUUCUGCCCUAUCAACUUUCGAUGGUAGGAUAGUGGCCUACCAUGGUGGCAACGGGUAACGGGGAAUUAGGGUUCGAUUCCGGAGAGGGAGCCUGAGAAACGGCUACCACAUCUAAGGAAGGCAGCAGGCGCGCAAAUUACCCAAUCCCGAUACGGGGAGGUAGUGACAAUAAAUACUGAUACAGGGCUCUUUUGGGUCUUGUAAUUGGAAGGAGUACAAUCUAAAUCCCUUAACGAGGAGCAAUUGGAGGGCAAGUCUGGUGCCAGCAGCCGCGGUAAUUCCAGCUCCAAUAGCGUAUAUUAAAGUUGUUGCAGUUAAAAAGCUCGUAGUUGAACCUUGGGUCUGGCUGGCCGGUCCGCCUCACCGCGUGCACUGGUCCGGCCGGAUCUUUCCUUCUGGGGAGCCCCAUGGCUUUACUGG